rnacentral:ncRNA from 1 species
UUGGAAGCAAAUUAGAAGUUCUUAAUGUACCUGCCAUGAUACAGCAACAUUCUGACAUGGAUGUCAGAAUGAGUCCUAAAGAGCCCGGAUGGCUCGUUUAGGACGGUUGCGUGAUAUUUCUAUAUUUAAUCAGGUACAUUUAGAACAUCUUAUUUGCAUAC